rnacentral:ncRNA from 2 species
AAUUUUAUGCGGGGGAACUGUAAAGUUGAGAAGGUUUAAGACCUGACCCUUGGAACCUGUCGGUUAAUACCGUCGAAGGGAGCAUUUGUAUAAUCUCC